UACAGAGGUCUCAAGCGUUGUUCGGAUUCAUUGGGCGUAAAGGGUGUGCAGGCGGCGUCGUAAGUCGGGUGUGAAAUCUCGGGGCUUAACUCCGAAACUGCAUUCGAUACUGCGGUGCUUGAGGACUGGAGAGGAGACUGGAAUUCAUGGUGUAGCAGUGAAAUGCGUAGAGAUCAUGAGGAAGACCAGUGGCGAAGGCGGGUCUCUGGACAGUUCCUGACACUGAGACACGAAGGCCAGGGGAGCAAACGGG
rnacentral:rRNA from 1 species